AUUGAACGCUGGCGGCAGGCCUAACACAUGCAAGUCGAGCGGAUGAAGGGAGCUUGCUCCUGGAUUCAGCGGCGGACGGGUGAGUAAUGCCUAGGAAUCUGCCUGGUAGUGGGGGAUAACGUCCGGAAACGGGCGCUAAUACCGCAUACGUCCUGAGGGAGAAAGUGGGGGAUCUUCGGACCUCACGCUAUCAGAUGAGCCUAGGUCGGAUUAGCUAGUUGGUGGGGUAAAGGCCUACCAAGGCGACGAUCCGUAACUGGCCUGAGAGGAUGAUCAGUCACACUGGAACUGAGACACGGUCCAGACUCCUACGGGAGGCAGCAGUGGGGAAUAUUGGACAAUGGGCGAAAGCAUGAUCCAGCCAUGCCGCGUGUGUGAAGAAGGUCUUCGGAUUGUAAAGAACUUUAAGUUGGGAGGAAGGGCAGUAAGUUAAUACCUUGCUGUUUUGACGUUACCAACAGAAUAAGCACCGGCUAACUUCGUG
rnacentral:rRNA from 1 species